rnacentral:rRNA from 1 species
AUGAGGUGGUGGAUCAUGUUCCGCAACGUCGACGGGCUCACCGUGACCGGCGACGGGACCAUCGACGGCAACGGCGAGACGUGGUGGAAGAGCUCGUGCCGGGUGGACAAGAAGCUCAAGUGCGCCAACGCCCCGAUGGCGCUGCUGCUCAGCAGGUGCAACAACCUCACGGUGGAGAACAUCCAGCUACUCAACAGCCAGCAGAUCCACAUGUCGGUCGAGGACUGCCAGGACGUGCUCCUAAAGGGCAUCACCAUCACCGCCCCCGGCGACAGCCCCAUGAACGACGGCAUCCACAUUGCGCGCACCAAGGACAUCCAGGUCCUGGAUUGCGACAUUAAAACAGGGGACGACUGCAUGUCCAUCGAGACCGGAACCGAAAACCUCUACGCUUCGAGGAUAACCUGUGGCCCGGGACACGGGAUCAGCAUCGGGAGCUUAGGCGACGACAACUCCGAGGCUCGAGUCUCUAACAUAACAGUCUACAAGGCGCACCUCUCCGGCACGACCAACGGCGUGCGCAUGAAGUCGUGGCAGGGAGGAAAAGGGUACGCCAAGGACGUCACGUUCGAGGACAUAACCAUGGAGGAGGUCCAUAACCCCAUAAUCAUCGACCAGAACUACUGCACAUCGGUCGAUCCCGCCAACCCUAAGCCGUGCAAGAAACAAACUUCGGCGGUGGAGUUCAGCAACAUUCGGUUCAAGAACAUAAGGGGCACGAGCGCGACGAAAGAGGCUAUCAAGCUGGACUGCAGCGACACCGUCCCAUGCCGCGAUAUAUUGUUGCAAGACGUGAAGCUUACUUUUCAUGACCGUGGGCACAACCACAAGCACGCUUCUGCAACAAGUGUAUGCAACAACGCCAAGCUAACCGAAUCUGGCACCAACGUAGAUCCCAAGCCCUGCUGA